rnacentral:rRNA from 1 species
GUCAUAUGCUUGUCUCAAAGAUUAAGCCAUGCAUGUCUAAGUAUAAACUGCUUAUACUGUGAAACUGCGAAUGGCUCAUUAAAUCAGUUAUAGUUUAUUCCUGGUACCUCUACUCGGAUAACCGUAGUAAUUCUAGAGCUAAUACGUGCGCACAUCCCGACUUCUGG